CAACCCUCAAGCUCUGCUUGGUAUUGGGUGUCACUGUCUCAGUGUACCUUAAAAUUAGUGGCGGUGCCAUCUGGCUUCUAGCGUAGUAAUACUUCUCGCUAUGGAGCUUGGGUGUAUACUUGCCAUCAACCCCUAACUUUAUAAA
rnacentral:misc_RNA from 1 species